rnacentral:rRNA from 1 species
CAACUUUCAACAACGGAUCUCUUGGUUCUGGCAUCGAUGAAGAACGCAGCGAAAUGCGAUACGUAGUGUGAAUUGCAGAAUUCAGUGAAUCAUCGAAUCUUUGAACGCACAUUGCGCCCUUUGGUAUUCCAAAGGGCA